UACGAAAUACUUUUGUUUUUCUUUUAUCUUUUUUUAUUUAUAUAUUUUUUUGUUUUUUUUUGUUCUUUCGUUUUUUUUUAUAAAAAAAAUACAAUGGAGCGUAUAAUUUACAAUAAAUCGAAAGCAUUUCCAAGACUUUCUUAAGACACGUUGUUUCUGUAGAAUCGAUACCAAUAUACUGAGUAUCAUCGUAUCAUCGUUUAAAAAUUCAAUUGACUCGAAAGACCAUGAAGUAUGUCGUUGUGAAUAACAAUGAAGCAGAAAACUUUCGACUGUUAAGUAAUUCACUGUCAAUGCAAAGUUUCGACAAUUUUCUUGACGUCACAUAAAUAAAACGUCGAACAGAGUUCUUAAUUCCUAUCAUUUCUUACUCUCAGUAUCGAAAGUCUAUGGAUUAACCGUUUGAGUCCUAGAAGGUAUUGAAAGAACACUGUCGAAGAAUCCCAAAUAGCACAACUGCGCUUUUCCUUUUUAUACGCUUUAUUUGUUUGAAAAUAUUCAAUCAGCGCGAUAGCGCUUGUUUAAUUUUAUGUUGAAAAAUACCAAGUAGCGCGACAGCACUUCUUGUAUAAAGUAAGUAACAUGAUUCUCGUAUUUUUUUCAUUACUUUGAAAAAUUUAACAAUCCGUCACGCACCAUUGUCCACAAUGCUGGAAAUAUGCUGGGUUUUCUCGACAUAAAAUCUAAACAGCAGAAUCGCGCUGUUUGGGACUCAAACGGUUAAGGUUGUUAAUUUGUGGAAAUUCGAGUUUAAAAAAAAAAAAAAAAAAAGAAAAGAAAAAGAAAAAAAAAAAGAACCUGUUAGAGGAUAUUUCCAUUUAGUUAGUCCAUAUAAUUCCGAUAUAUGCCAUCAUCGCACAGGUUAUUGUUCCAUAUUAGAUCGCAAUUCUUUGUUUUCCCUAUAUAGUAUCACAAUGUCUUUGAGAGGUUUCCCCGUUCGUUUUCUCGAUCGUUUUCUAGGUUUCUGUGCCGCCACUUGUACGAUUCUAAUUCCAAGAUCGUUUAAGCGUAUUAAUAAUGGAUAUUAUAUACUUUUUUUGCGGAGAAAUGAAUCGACGAGUUACAAAAAAAAAAAAAGCAAUAUUUUUAUGUUCAUAAUGAAAAAUUUAUUCACAAUGUCAGACAUAUAAUCUUUUUUUUAUGUUUCAUUAUACAAUCAUCACGCACUUCACAGGCACGUACUUUUGAGGGAUAUUAUUUCUGAUAAUUAAAAAAAUAAUAUACACACAUUAUCACAUAAUUAAAUUACAUUAUUCUUAAGUUGUAUUUCUGUGUGAUUAAAUAAUUAACCAUAUUCACGUAAAAUUUCGUAAUAACUUAUCUUUCCACGCGAGAAUUCGUAUUCUUUAGGCCGAAGUAAAGAACGAAGGGAUAUAGAUCUUACGAAGAGAAGAACGAACGAACCCGAAGGGCAACCUCGUAAGAAUGACCAUGACCUUUCUACGGACGCAACUAUCAGCAUGCUGGAUCCAUUGAGAUUGUAUUCUAGAGUUAUACGAUUACCUUCAAAGCGAACGGGUUUCGAAGCUACGUGCCUCUCGCAUAACGGUCAUCGACUUCCCUCUCUGCCUUUCUCUGUCACAUUUUUCUUUUUUUUUUUUUUGCUCUCUCCAUUUCUCCUCUCUCCUUUUCAAAUUUUCUUUUUGAACGAUUACCUUCUCAUACUCAAAAAUGAUCAAAAUAUUAGAUCUAUCUUAGAUCUAGAUAUAAUUUUGUGAGUAAUCGUUUAAUAUACUCGUCAUCGUCAUCAUUGUCAUGUCAUCAUCAUUAUCGUCAUUAUUGUUAUCUUAAAAAUGUUUUCAAAAAAAAAAACAAACAAAAUAAAAAGAAAAUAAACGCUAUAGGACGACGAUAAUAAGUCUAUUAAGAACACAAUUACGUUCAUCAACUUGUUAGAGAAAAACUGUUAACGGAAGUAAACUUCCUUCUUUUUUCUUUUUUUUUUUCUUCUUUCUUUCUUUUUUUUUUUGGAACUUCGUUUUUCUUUUCUUCUCCUAUUCUCUUAUUUCACAACAAUAAUUAUGAUAUUCAGUGAAAAUAUAUUCUUAUUACGAUACUCGAUUCGAAAGUAUUCAAUCCAUUUUGGUAAGAAGGAUGAUUUGAGUGGUCGUGAAGAACGUUUUAAAAGUUUCGUUCGAUCAAGUGCGUUACGUGAGAUAUCUCACGUAAACGAAGGACGAUCGCGAGUUAAUGUUCGGGGAAUCGUGUUCUUGACGUCACGAGCCAUUGGUCUCAUCGUGAAGAACGGUGCGGCCUCUCUACCAAAUGACCUACUUUUAGUUGUGACAAGAGCAGGGAAGCGAGACGUGCUUUACAAGGCAUAAGAGAAUCAAGCUUCCUAGUUACAAUGUUGCCUCAUCGGCAAUUAUUAUUAUUAAUAAUAAUAAUAAUAAUAAUAAUAAUAAUAAUAGUUGGAAAUAGAUCACACAUGUCGCCUCAAGGCCUACCCACGUAUUAACAACUUUUAUGAUGGCUGAUUAAAUAGUUUGAUCACUUAAAAGUGAUGUAUAGUUAUAUAUAUAGUUAUUGCAAUACGGUUUCAGUACGAAAUGAAUUUCAUAGAGACCACAUAUGUUUUAAGUUUAUGUUGUUUGAUUUAUAUUCUAAAAAACUCGUUACCAUUUACACUCGUUACUUUAAUGAGAGUAGCAAGUAACAGUAUUUUUCGAAUCAAAUCAAACAACAUGCCGUUGGAUAUUGAAAUAUUCAUUAGAGAGAUUGAGAAACGAGCAAUAAUAUAUUAAAAAAAUAUUUUGAUAAGAAUUGAAAAAAAAAAAAAUUAUGGGUAGAAUUGUGUAAAAAAUUUGUUGAAAAUUUGAAUAAUCUAACUGAUACAGAUAAAAAUGAAAAGAAUAAGCAAUUACAAAAAUAUAAUGGAAAAAUUUAAGGACAUGUAAUGAGAAUAUGACGAAUAAAAAAGUGUGCCAUCUGAAACAGGAAGGGGAAAAAGUGGGAUAAAUAUUUAUAAUUCGAUCAAUCAUUAUUUCUGCUCUAUUUAUCAAGAGUAGAAACAUAUUCAACAACUUUGAAUCUACGAUCAGCAACAGAAAUGUCGAUGAAAAUGUAAUUGAAAAAACGGAGGAUAUAAAUCAUGUUUCCCCUGUUACCUCAUUUUAAUCUAAUGCCAAUGUAACUAAACGAAAGAAAGUUUUUAAAAGCUCGUUUGAGGAAUCAUUACUGCAAAUACUAAGGGAGAAAAAUGACGAGAACAAGGAAAUAGAUAAAGACAAAUAUUUUCUUUUGUCAUUGCUCUCGUCAUUUAGAAAACUUAGAAACAGUAAUUUAUUGCUCACAUAGAGAUAAUAAAUGUUAUGAGGCGUGUAUGUUUACUAAGAUAUCACCGUACUCAAACUAAUCCUAAUAUAAUGUCUUCUAGGAAUAUUUUUUGAAUCCCUGUGUCAUGAUCCUUUUUAGUUUUAACAUUAGGACAAUGAUAUGCUGAAGAUCCAGAUUUAGUUUAAUGAUGACAAAUAAAAAAUAUAGAGAUCUUUUUUUCCGUUUCGACGCUUAAUUAGUUAUAUUAUUAUAUGUAUAUUUUCAAUAAAUAAAUGGUUAAUUUCAAGAAUAAUAUUAUUAUCUACCUCUUAAAGUUAAAUUAUAGACAAUAUUUUCUUCGAUGGGAUAGUUAGCCGUAACAUAGUAUUUCUAUAAGAAAUUCUAAGUCCAAUAAAAAACUUAUCAUAACUUUCAACACUCGUUCGAAAGUAAUUAAAGAACUUCUCAUGUACACUCACUUAAACUCUCGAACAGUUUAUAAAAUUUUGCCCAUUAAAAAAUUUACGGCUUAGUAUUACGAAUAAACCCAAAAUAAUCUUUUUCCUUUUUGUUUUCCAAAAUGAAAACACAAAACAUAUGUGACUUCUAUGAAAUCCAUUUCGUGCUGGUACUGUAUAGAGACUAUUUAAUCUUCCAAUGUGCGUCUACCAAAAGAAAAGAGCAACGUUUAAAUUAUCAAAAAAUAUAUAAUCGUCUAUCAUGAAUGUAAUCAACAUGCGACAAAUCUAACGCCUCCAUUCGAAUGAAAAAAAAUUAAAAGAAGUUAGAUCAUUCUCAAUUUGAUAAUAUUCCAUGACA